GGUUAAGCGACUAAGCGUACACGGUGGAUGCCCUGGCAGUCAGAGGCGAUGAAGGGCGUGCUAAUCUGCGAUAAGCGCCGGUAAGGUGAUAUGAACCGUUAUAACCGGCGAUACCCGAAUGGGGAAACCCAGUGUGACUCGUCACACUAUCAUUAACUGAAUCCAUAGGUUAAUGAGGCGAACCGGGGGAACUGAAACAUCUAAGUACCCCGAGGAAAAGAAAUCAACCGAGAUUCCCCCAGUAGCGGCGAGCGAACGGGGAGGAGCCCAGAGCCUGAAUCAGCAUGUGUGUUAGUGGAAGCGUCUGGAAAGGCGCGCGAUACAGGGUGACAGCCCCGUACACAAAAGCGCAUGUGCUGUGAGCUCGAUGAGUAGGGCGGGACACGUGGUAUCCUGUCUGAAUAUGGGGGGACCAUCCUCCAAGGCUAAAUACUCCUGACUGACCGAUAGUGAACCAGUACCGUGAGGGAAAGGCGAAAAGAACCCCGGCGAGGGGAGUGAAAAAGAACCUGAAACCGUGUACGUACAAGCAGUGGGAGCACAGGUUUACCUG
rnacentral:rRNA from 3 species